rnacentral:rRNA from 1 species
UGAAUACGAGACGCUAAGGCGUUGAAGUAGUGUAUGUCAUACUUCCAAGAAAAGCUUGCACUGUCAUAAAUAAGAAAUGCCUGUACCAUAACCGACACAGGUGGGUAGGUAGAGAAUACUAAGGGGCGCGAGAUAACUCUCUCUAAGGAACUCGGCAAAAUAACUCCGUAACUUCGGGAGAAGGAGUGCCUUACUUUGUAAGGCUGCAAUAACAAGAUCCAAGCAACUGUUUACCAAAAACACAGGUCUCCGCUAAGUCGAAAGACGAUGUAUGGGGGCUGACGCCUGCCCAGUGCCAGAAGGUUAAAGAAGUUGGUUAGCAUUAGCGAAGCUGAUAACUGAAGCCCUGGUGAACGGCGGCCGUAACAAUAACGGUCCUAAGGUAGCGAAAUUCCUUGUCGGGUAAGUUCCGACCCGCACGAAAGGCGUAAUGAUUUGGAUACUGUCUCGGAGAGGGGCUCGGUGAAAUAGACUUGUCUGUGAAGAUGCGGACUACCUGCACCAGGACAGAAAGACCCUAUGAAGCUUUACUGUAACUUGAAAUUGAAACUGGACUUUAGUCGCGCAGUAUAGGUGGGAGGCGUUGAUAAUAAUCUUGCGGGAAUAUUGGAGCCAUCAGUGAGAUACCACUCUUCUAAUGUUAGGUUUCUAACUUUGUAUCAUUAUCUGGUCAAAGAACAGUUUCAGGCGGGCAGUUUGACUGGGGCGGUCGCCUCCCAAAUGGUAACGGAGGCGUACAAAGGUUUCCUCUGAACGUGUAGAAAUCGUAUCUAGAGUGUAAAGGCAUAAGGAAGCUUGACUGUGAGACCUACAAGUCGAGCAGGGACGAAAGUCGGUCUUAGUGAUCUGACGGUACUGAGUGGAAAGGCCGUCACUCAACGGAUAAAAGUUACUCUAGGAUAACAGGCUGAUCUCCCCCAAGAGUUCACAUCGACGGGGAGGUUUGGCACCUCGAUGUCGGCUCAUCGCAUCCUGGGGCGGUAGUACGUCCCAAGGGUUGGGCUGUUCGCCCAUGAAAGCGGUACGCGAGCUGGGUUCAGAACGUCGUGAGACAGUUCGGUCCAUAUCCGGUGUAGGCGUUAGAAUAUUGAGAGGAGCCUUCUUUAGUACGAGAGGACCGAGAAGGACAUACCUCUGGUGUACCAGUUAUCGUGCCAACGGUAAACGCUGGGUAGCUAUGUAUGGAGUGGAUAACCGCUGAAAGCAUCUAAGUGGGAAGCCCACCUCAAGAUGAGUAUUCUCAUAAG